GGCUUGAUGGUCUAGUAGUAUGAUUCCUUGUUAGGGUAUCAAAGCUGACGUGCAACGAUUUCGAGGAGGUCCUGGGUUCAAUUCCCAGUCAAGCCC